UGAACAGCCCCAGCUCUCUCAGCCUGUCCUUGUAGAAGAAGUGCUCCAUCCUUUGAAUCAUUUUUGUGGUCCUCUUCUUGACACACUCCAACAGGUCCACAUCUCGCCUGUACUGAGAAGUCCAUACCUGCAUGCAGUACUCCAGCUUUAUUGUUGGACAUCCAGAGCCUUGACCCUCUGCCCCAGACAAAGACUACUGUGGCAAAGUGAUGGGGAACUUGAAAGCAAAUGAAAGCUUCCCAGGGAUCUGUGGAAACAGGCAAACCAGGUGGACACUUCCUUGCCACAAGCAAAAAGCAAUUAUCCAGGCUAGAAUUCAGGACUGAGGAGACAUCACCUGGACACCAAGACCUUGGUCAGCACCCUUGGAGCCAUGAAGUCCCUCUUGAUAUGCUCCAUGUUGCCUCUGGCACCAGUGGUGCACCUGUGGAAGGGCAGCAGGGUGUCACAGCCCCAGAGCUGCCAGGCCUUGCAGCUUCUCCACUGCACCCCAGUUCCAAGUCCCCAGCAAGCAUGAAGCUCCAAAACAAAACUACUUGCCUAAAGAGAAAUAUACACUGAGGGGGACAGAGGAGGCUUCAAUAACAAGCUCAAGCAUCAUCACACUCGGGAUGGAUCUUCAUCUUGUCCAAAUGUUGAUAAGAAGAUGUUGCCUUUGAAGUCUGACUGAAAUCAGACAAGAAAACCAACAAACUGUGAGGACUGUGACCUUUCUCCAUGACAGAAUUGAAAGGACGGUAGGAAAAACAAAAUAAUAAUAAUAAAAAAAGCCACACAGAAUAGUUCAGAGUUCUGAAAAGAAGGAAACAAAUUGGAAAAACAUGGAGGAGAAAGUUCUGGACUCACAGCACUUAAGUACAGGCUCAAUUUUGGAUGUGUCAGUAUCCCACUGAUCUCAGAUGGUCUUAUUUGUGAGCUGAAAUGCAUGCACUCAAGGGCUUGGCAUAGCCUGUGUGCUUCUCAAAACAACGGGAGACAUCUCAAGCAAACAGAAAUUUACUCAGUGGCGUUCUUACAGCCCAUACCAGGGUUUUUAAGAGGUAAUGAUUUUGAAAAGCUAGAUGCAGAAGGCCCCAGGCUAAUAGGGAAGCGCGAAUUGCUGUUUUGUGAAUGAGGUAUCAUGGUGUCUCAUGAUUCAGACAUAAGCAGCUGAAGAGAUGACCUUAUUUUUAUGUUGAAGAAAUGUUAUCAGAUGUGACUAAUUGGAGGCUGGUGGCAGGGGAAAGCUCUGAGGCACAGUAAUUGCUUCUGUCUGAUCAAAAGGAUCAAGAGAGAAUCCCUUAGAGAGCCAAAUUCAAAAAUGAGAUUCCUGUGGUAUGUAGAUCAUAAGAUUGAUUUUUUCUGGACAUGCCUGGACAAGGAGAAAAUAACUGAAUGUGAAUAAAUGCAAUCUUGCUGCCAAGGAGCUGAAGAAGUUGUUCUCAUUAUAUGCUUUGUUCUAUAUAACGCUCACAUUUCCAUUUGUCUGCAUAACAGUUACACCUUGAGAAGAUGUGACUCUUCUCUUCCUGCAGGAACGGAGAGCAUCCUAGCGGGCUGUGAAUUUUCUGUGUGUCAAGAAUUUCAGUGUUAGGACCCAUGUGAAUGAUUUCUAACAGUGAUUUUCAGCCAAGGAACUUUGUUUCAAGAACAUGCUGACCCUUUGUCUCAUGCCUGAGGAUGUAUAAAGAUCAUUCAGUUAAAUGAGAGCCUCCUGUGGCACUGUGGCACCCAUGCAGCAUGCCCCAGGUACUGAGGUUGGAGAGCAGGGGACCUCCUGGGAAGCCUGGCACAGCCAGUGCCACCUCCAGCCUGCCCCUGUGUCCUCUCAUGCCUGUCACCAGCCUGGCUGUGAGCCAGGGCAUGGCUGAGCUACUGCAGCAGUCAUUGCCUGGGUGAGCACUAUGACUGGGAACAGACAGAGGAUGCUGCUGUUCCUGUUGUGCUCACUCCUGACUGCACACGCUGGCAUUUCCAAAGUAGGACUUUUUUUCUUUCCUGAAUAGUUCAAAUCAUUAUGUCACCAAACUCAAUACAAAGUAAGGGAAUUUACAGUUUUGUGAGGCACCACUGUACAAGUUGCCCUUGAGAAACAAAUUGUAUGGAAGGUUCUUUAGUAUUAUAUUGACUCAUGGAGGAAAAGGCCCAGGGAGGACAGGUCCUGGUGCACACACAUGGGGCACUCAGAGCAGGAUGCAUUCCCUGCCCAGCAAGCACAGCUGAGAUUCACUUCCUUAGGUUGUUUUUCAUGGCCUCCUAUACUUUUUCCACCACAGUGAGGUCCCCCCAGGCAGGGACAAAAACUGGCAAAAUGGGUGAAGCCAAUGUUGGGCUGAGAAACUGCUGAUCCUUGAACGCCAAUAUCACUUGAUAGUGAAGAACAGAGAUCUGAAAGGGCCUUAUUAGUUUCUCUCCCCAGCGCCCCUGCACUACUAGCUUUCUUCCACCACUUUGGGAAAGGCAUGCAGAACACAUACCUGCAUGGAACACAUACUUCAACAGAGCAUUUUUGAAACCUGCUAACACGAGGGCAGUUGGUCUAAGCAGCUGAACCCCCAUGACCCUCACUCAGGACUUCACAAGGGCACAGACCCUCUGCAGCCCAUCUGGGAUGCACCAUCCCAAGUCAAGUACACAUGUGCUUUGCUCUGGGGCUGCUCACAGAAAUGAGCAUGCUUCUCAUAGGCUAUUUCCUUUCUCUUGCUAUUGCUUCCCCAUCUGAAUCCUUGCCUUUCACUGGGCGCAUAACCAGCUCACACCAUACUUCUGAAAGGAAAUGCUGAUCUUAUGUCAUUAUUUCUUACUUAUCUCCAGCACAGAAUAUGAUAUACAUCUAUCUGAGAGGGUCUCCUUCUCAAUAAGCUGAACUCCUCUUGGCAUGCUAUUUACAGGGAUAGACUUCAGUGUCUAAGGUAUUUCUGUCAUCACUGCAGGCCUUCUUAGAGGGAUAUCUUACUAAUGCCAGUGCCACACCUCUGCAUUCUUCUCUGCUGCUGCUUUUAUUACCCAUUUCUGCCAGCAAAGAACAGAAGAGCCAGAACCAUUCUCUGCAGCUGCCCUUUCCCUUUUGAGCCAUUGCGCUCUGCACAAGCCUGACAUAAGAUGCAUUUCUGUGUGCUGCUUAGCCAGGCACUUUAUCUUCUCUGGCACUCAGUGCCUCGCAACGUUUUUCUUCAACUGAACUAACAGGUUUUGAAAAUUGAUGAACUACAAAUACCGGUCUUUUCAGCUGUGGAUUGAAUCCCAGAAUAUAGAACCGGUAUUUUUCCAUUUAAAAAUAAAUAAUUAAAACCUGAAUCUCAAAGAUGAAUAAAAGAUUUAGAAAACAUAGUGAUUUGUUAGGAUAAAAUGCUGGUUUUCACUUCAUAUCCUACGGCAUGUGGUUCUCUGUUGUUUCAGUACUGCAAUCAAUGGCCAAAAAUUGGUAGGCUUCCAAACCACAUAAGACUUUGAAAUAAGAGAGAAAGAGGGAAGGGAAGGGAAAGGGAAAGCAAAAGGGGAAAAGGAAAGAAGGAGAAAGGAGAGAAGAUACCAUUGUUUGUCUUCCUUAUUAAGUCUGGUUUGAUUAAAUUCAGACUAAAAGGUUUAAGUGUUCCUAAUGCUCCAGAGGCUGAACUUUACACAAGUACCAGGUCGUAGGAGUCAUUAAGUCAGAAGGUGAAGAAUCUUUCCUUUGGCUAACCUGCAGGAAGGAAAAAGGGCUUAUCCCAUUUCACUGAUGAAGAACAGAAAUGCAGUAGCCUAAACUCUGCCUCAUCUCAUGGCAAGCCUCUAACCUGUGCUAGGCACAGCACUGUUCCUUUUAGCAUUAGUAGAAAGGACAUAUCCAGAGAACAGCCUCCCAAGGCAGAAAUCACACUACCAACAUGAAUACACUCAGCACUGACAACUCCAGUUCUUCUACAAUUACGUGUGGAAAAAGACCCACAAAAUUGCUUAAGUCAGAAGAUUUAAGAAAAUGCACUCAGGAGCUGUUCUGUUUUCUGCAGUUGUUAGGCAGAGGUGGGUUGCAUAAGUUUCUGAACCACUGGACACCAAUAGACUUGUUUUAGCACAAUUUUGAUAUUCUUGAGUAGUGUCACAUCCCUUCAUGCUUUUGUUUUGUUUUGUUUUUUAAAGGAAAAUAUAAGGCAAUGCUCACGAGGCUCAGGCUAAAGACAGGGAGUUGGCAAAUGUAGAUGGAGAGCUGGCAACCCUGUACCUCCGCUCUCCAAGUGACAGACCUGAAAUGCCAC